AUGGACCAAUGUCCAAUUCUCAUUGUACGUUGCAAAAGAGGAAUAGGAGAGGAGUGGCUCAAGAUUUCCCACAUCCCUAGCUUAGAGGUAACUUCUUCUUUUAUUUUGCAAUAUAUCAAUAUUAAAUUAAUUAAAAUUUUACUUGUCUGCCUAAAUUUCCCACGUCAUUCGAAGUAGGCGAUUUAUAUUAUAUAUUUUUUAGAUUCGGUUAUUCUGUGAUUUAUCUAAAAUUGCUUAAUAAAUAUCCAAAUGAAUAUCCUUAAAAAUCUCAUUCAUUUGCAUAUGUAUAGAUAUAAAACAGAUCCAAUGUCUACAUAUAUCUUUCUAUUUCAUUUACGGUUUUCCUCUUUUUCAUUUAAGGCUACGAAUAUAACACUAAUCUCAAAUAACCCAUAUGGCUUCUUUUGGUUCAUGUAGAAAGACGAUGAAGCAAAAUGGUUCCUGUGAUCUCUGUGUUUCUAGGUUCAGGAAUCUUAGGUUCAAGUAGAGAUUUUUGGAUGAUGAUGAUGGUGAAAGAUGAUUUUUGUCUAUACUCUGUGUUGGCAAAGUCCAUUCUUGGCAAAUCAUGUGGUUGCUUAGAUUCAGUUAUCUUGUGAUGUAUCUAAAAUUGUUUAGACUAAUAAAAAAUGAUCACGACAACAAAUCUUACUCAUUGACGUAUAGAGAAAAUAACUCAAAUGCCUACCACUUUCUAAUUCUUUAAUAGUUUUAUAUUUACAUGGGUGUUGCUAAUAGUUUAAAUAACUCAUGGUUUUCUUUUGGGCAUCUAGGGGUUUUGGCCCUUAGGGACUAGCCAGAUGACUAAGACAAAGAAGAGGACACUGAAGAAGAGGACCUAUGAUUUCUGUGUUUCUAGGUUCAUGAUUUUAGCUUCAAGUAGAGAUUUUUGGAUGACGAUGGUGAAAGAUGAUUUGUUUGUGUGUGGGCGAAGUUCAUUCUUGGAAUGAUUCAGUAAUGCAAGUCUUAUCUAGUCAUGGUAACUUCUUCUAACCCUUCUUCUGCUUCAUCUUCUUUUUUUAUUAGAACUAAAUAUCAAUUAAUUUUCCUACUUGUCUGUAAAAAUUCCCCAAAAAACAAAGAAAUACAAUUGGUAAUUAAUUUUUAUGAGAUUUUGGCCAAAAUCUCAGACACGGACACCAACGAUUCAGUCCUAUGUUCUUUUUUGUGUGCGCUUUUGUUAUAUGUAUUAAAUAAUAAGAUCUGAUCACAGUUCAUAGUAUAAGAUUUUAACAUUUGCCUGUCAAUUAUAAGAUCAAUGACUUUUUAUGCGGAAAUAACUAUAAAUUUGCUAAUGCUUUAAUUGGAUAUCUUAAUCUCCAUAAAUUUGUUGAGUGACUCUAUAAACUGAUUGAGGUUCUGUCCACAUUGAUCAGACUUCAACAAAGUUGAACCUAAUGUUUUGAAACAUGUACUUCUGUAGUUGUUAAUUCUUAGCUCGUGUAAAUUUUGAAGCAGUACUGUCUUGUGUCCUACUGAAUACCAAUUUAUGUUUUCCACUGGUAAGCUUCAUGCUCUAGUUUUUGUCCCACUGUCCAUGGAUUUGAGUAUACAACAGUUCAAAAUAUUCACUGUAGUUUGAAUAGAAUUGAUAAUCAAGAUAUUGGAAUGAUCAUUUUCAUGAUGUUUGUUAAUGUCCUCUGCUUGUUAAAUGCUUAUUUGGAAGUGCUGAUGUGGUACCAUUUGUUUAACAUUAUUUACUUAUCCUAUACAAUGCAUAUUCAGGUUGCAGUUUUCUAGUUCCCCAAUGUGUCACUGGUUGAAAGGUGCUGGUCUCUUCAAAAUCAUUGUUGUUGUGAGUUUAUUCAAUUUCCAAGUAAUUAAUCAAUUGCAAGCAAAAUAUUAUGAUAUAGAUUUAUAGAUUUUUUUUAAAAAUAUAUGUAAGACAAGAAAUUCCCCCUUUUCAGGGUUCACAAAGUUUGCUACAAGUUCGAAUUUUUGGAUGGUGAUGGUGAAAAUUAUUUGCGUUUGAACGUGUGCCCGAAAAGUUUAGCAUCAGCUUGAUUCGGCGUUGCAACUCUGAUUCAGUCAUUGGUAAUGCCUUCUUCUUCAUCAUUUUUCUUUAUUUCACCCAAAUUUCAAUUAAUUAUCCUACUCAUCCCUCAAAAACAUAAUAAUUACAACUUUGGUAGAUUAAUUUAAGAUUCUGGCCAAACUCACGAGGACAUUGACACAAAUGGUUCAAUCUGGUGUGGAAGGUUCUCUAUUUGAAAAGAAAAAAAAAAUAAUACCUAAUGAAUGAUACUCAAAUUUUAACUUUGACAUGUUGGCUUUCUUUUAUAGUCAAUCUAAGUUGGCGACGCAUGAAAAGAAAUUUAUGUAACGCUAGUCUUAAGAAGAAAGAGAGGGUGUCAAGGCUUUAAAAUGUUUUUGUUAAUUAUCAAGUACAAAAGUUAUAGGGUUAGGUAAUUGCUAUUUAUCAAGUUAUAAAGAAAUAUCAUCUGCUUGUUUCUUGUUUCAGAGUCUAAAGCAUUACGUUACAUGAAAAAGUGUGAAGUACUGGAGGCCCGUUACUAGUAGGAAAGAAGAAGAAACUACAUAUAAUUUGGCUUGUUAGUUGGAUCAUUUACUCCUCCACUGUGAGGUAUAUCUCGAUAUUUUCUUCUUAAUAAUCUGUUUGUUUUCCUUAUCAUUUUGUCCAUCCUUGAUAAUCUCAUGCUAAAUAUUUAAUUCUUUUUGGCCUCAUUUAAACCAAACAUCUGAUUCUAAUAUCUAGGCCUGUACAUUUUGUGAUGAAUCAAAUUUUCCCACAUGGAUGCACAUUUGAAAAAGGACCACAGAAGCAGGUUCUCUAUCAUUUCAUAAUGGAAGCAACAAAGUGCAUCAUGGAACAUAUUGUGUGUAAUCCAUAUUAUAUGGUGACAGAUGAUUGGUGAUCUAGGUAAUUGACCAGUUUUCAGCUUAUGUAAUUUCCCACGUUAUGUUUUAGGUUUUGAAUUUAGUUUGCUAAUUUUCAUGGCUUAGUGUUAUAAAUUGAGGAGAUUGAUGAAAACAAAGGUGUGUGGAUUUCUUGUCUUAGAGAUUGAAGAGAUUUGUGUCAUGGAAGAGAGGGAAGAGUGGAAUGUUAGCACUAGGAGUGGAGGGGAAUGAGAUGAGAAAUGCUUGCUUUUCUUUCUAUCAUUGUUAGUCAUCCAAUUUGGAAUGACAUUCAAAACUGGAACUACCUGAAAUAGUCACCAAUAUGUGCAAGGAAAGAAGAAGAAGAAGAAGAAGGAAAUGAAGCCAUUUUACUUUUGUUUGCUCUUGGCAAUUCAAUUCUGAUUCACUUAUAGGUAGAUUUAUAUUCCUCUUUUUUUCUUCCUCAGAUGCCAUUGCGUUUACCUUUUAAUCCAUGUUCAAUAACUUUUAUUUUCAACACUUAAGGGUCUAGGAAUGUUUUGAAUGCUUGAAUCCUUUUUUCAUUCAACAAGGUUAAGAAGAAAUAGGGAAGAUCCAUGGCUCAAACCACGUAAUCCUUUUUUAAUUUAUCUAAUCUUAUUGUUAUAGAGUUAUGUACUUGCUUUGUAUCAAGUUCUCAUGUCUAUAUUUUGUGCGUUUUCUGACUCAGAGGCAGAAGUGUUUCAUGGCAUGGAAGUGUGCAAAGUGGGGUAAGAAAUCACCACGAGAUAUGAAGAUAUUACAAAUACAUUGAAUCAAGUAACGAUCGCAGAACACCAUUCUUGGUAGUGAAUCAAAUUUUUAAUUGGUUUAUUGUGACUUCUUUUCUUUCUUAUUUCCAUCUGUCUCACUCAAAGAGUUUCCUCCACAGUGUGGUUUAUUUCCUUCAAGAUGUAGGAAACCGUAUCAAGAGUAUGUCUGAUUUUUUUAGGCCAACGGCUAAAAACUAAAAUGAAGAUUUUGCAUAAACCAAGAAUCUGCUUAGUUACAUCAAUGCAAUGUAUCUGACUUGAAUAUUAUUAGUUGCUUAGCAUUUGUCUAAUUAGCCUUCAGAAGCACUUUAGCUUACCUUGAUAUCUUCCUAACAAUUGUAAAGAAAGUUCCUUAAAGGAGGGCUGUAAUCUCAUAUUGAUUGUUUUCUAAGUAAUUAAUUAUGGCUUAAAUCAUUGUGUAUUUUCUAAAUAAAGAAUAAAAUUUAGUGAAAAUAGAAAUUGGAUUUCAUUUUUUGCUAUUACAGAAUCUAUAGAGGAAAAUUGGGGAAUGCAAAACAAUCCAUAGCCAAUGAACACUAUUAGCUUUUUUUUUUGUUCUUUUUUAUGGAGGUAGCGAUCCUAGAAGUUGCGAUAGUGUAUGUUUAGUGCUACAAAAUUUUCUUACCUGCAAAUCUUUUCAAAAUGGUUUAUGGUAUCUGUUUAUACUCUCAUUCCUUUAACUGGUGAUUAUUGCAGGUUGAACUCAAAACCAUGGUCCAUAUAGGUAAGCACAGCUUGCUUAAGAGGGAAUGGUUAUGCAAAUGACUGAAAUUUUAUUUAUGGCACCAUAAUUGGGAGAACGUGAGGUUUUAGUGGCACCUUUAAAACUGUCUACAGCAUUCAGGAUCGAGGAAUCUACUAAAAAGAUCUUCCUUGCUAUUGUUAACUUUAGUAUUUAACUUUUCAUUGCCACCUCAACCUUGCAAACAGGUCCAGUAUAUCUGUUUGAUAGUUUUUGAUUUGAAUCUCAUCAGUUUUACUUAAUGGGAAUAGACAUAGGUCAAGAGCUUUUGUGGUUUAUGAGGUAAUGUAAAUUGAUUUACCAUUUUAUUGGGGUUUUUGUCUUAUGGAGUUAAAAUUGGAGUUUUUUAAGUUCCCUGAUUUUGAAAGGACGGACUAUGUGAUAUUAAGAUGUUGCUACAAAAUUAUAAUCUAUACCUUUGUAACUUGUGUUAAAGAGUACUCUUCUCAGUAGGAAAUUUGGAGUACUGUCAAAAGAUUUUGCAGCUAGACCUCCUAAAAUCAUUGACAAUGUCAUAUCUUGCUCAUCUCCUGGUGUAAUCUAUUAUUAAAUCUCAAAACAAUCUUCUUCUGUUUAUCAUACAUGAAUUCAGAUCAUAAACAAAGUCCUCUAGUUGUUACAAAUAGCAUUAGACCAACAGAUUAACAUACACCAUAUGGACAGAUUAUUUACAAUGGAUGAAGAAGAUAAGAUCAAUCUCAAAGUGGAAACCCCAUCAGCAACAUCAAGGAUUCAAUUGAGGAAGGAAAUGAGCCUGAGCUUGACACCACUCACAAAGGAAAGUGAUGAAGAUAAUGCCUCUCAAAAUAUAUUAAAUGGUAUAUUUUUCCUUUAACUCCCAUUUGUUUGUUUGAUUGUCAAAUCCAUACUAAUUGCUGCUUCUACUUUGAAUAAAGUCUUUGGUAGUUCUGUUUUGUUGUAGGAAUUAGGAUUAUAUUUUCUGGGUUAUAAUUAUGCUCCUCAUCUUGCAUAUGAGCUAAAUAAUUUGCAAGGCAUAGUGGUAAAGUUUACUGUAGUAAUUAGCAUUGUGCUGCAGGAUAUAGUCUGUCCCCUAUUAGUCACCUUUUUAUUACUAGUCUUUUGAUUGCUUGUGUAUAGCUCGUGGUGCUCAUCCCUUGUAUAAUGCAUAAACUUUGAAAUUCCUCUUAACGUGUUAUAGCUCUUUCAAUUUAAGGUUAAGCUACUAUAUAUUCACUUUAGAUCAUUAUCAUUGAUGUCCAUUGUGAUUAAAAGUAUUAUUAUUCUAAUUACUUCUAUUGAUGCCUGUUAACCUGAAUAAGCCCUAAAUCCCAGCCACUUGAAAACAUUCCUUGCUUUACAAUAGACCACUGAGGACAGAGAAAGGAUAUUCGGUGAGCACUUGGGGAUGCGAGCAUGGAUUUGAACUACCAAGGUAAGUAAGUUUUUCCUUUUUACAUACUAAUAUUGCCAAUGUCCAAAUUUUCUCGAAUUGGUGCUUCAUUAUUCCUCUGCUGGCUUUCUAGGUUCUCUAUCUGGCAUGCUACUAUCUAGUUUCAUUUAUCUUUCUCCACGUUAAUCUGUUGGGUAUGGUUGUCACUCAUGAUUCAUAUCACAAAUGAAGCUCAUUUUGCUUGUAGCCAGAGAGUGUUUGAAGUUACAAGCAUGGAGAUGGUGUUGUGUACUACAGUGUCGAGUUUUGUAGUGAUGAAGAUUUGAGAUUGACCUCAAAUUUCAUCUGUUGUGCCCUUAAUGUCCUUUAUAUUCUCCUCAUCAUCAGGUUUAAAUUGCAGGUAUGCGUUUUUAUUUUUUUUCCCCUCAUAAUUAAGGUGCUUUUCUGUUAGCUUUAUAUAUAUAUAUAUAUAUAUAUUCUUUGUGUGAUUAAUCAUCACUAUGAAUUUUUAUAUUAUUCCAAUAAAAUAGCUCGACAUCAUUCCACCAUGUAGUUAUAUAAGUUUUAAAUACAGUCAAUGAAUUGCUAAUUUAUCUUGAUCUUGCACAAUUUGGAAUUUUGGUAAAUAUUGUUGCUUUUCCUUUGGCUUCAAUUCAACAUAAUGCUACAUUGCAUUAAUGGUCUUACAUCCAGCACACAGAAAAUUUUCUAUGAUAUUCUGUAUAGUGUAGUCCUUUCUGAGAAUUUUCUAGAAUUUGCGGACAAGGAAUCAAAAAACCAGAUUGAUCUUCAGAUGGGUUUGAGCCUAAGACUUUUUAUUGUUUGCUGAUUAAUGAUUAUUUUCAAUUGAUAGAAUCAUUUUGAUGUCAAAAUAAAAAAAUUUCCUUUGUAUUUGCCAUAAUAAAUUUUGUUGAAAUUUUUUAUUUCCCACGCUUUGAUCAUAAGUGUGUGUGUGUGUGUAUAUUUUUGGUAUUUUGUCCCCUUCAUCCUGAAGCAACAACUUGUUUGUAAAACUUGUGCAGUCUAAACCUAUUGGAGAAGUGUAG
rnacentral:sRNA from 1 species